CCAACUGAGCUCUGUUGGCUUCUCUUUGUAAAACUCUUGUGAUGCGUUAUUAGUUUCUUCAUGCUUUUCUCUCCUUUGGAAAAAAAGUUCCAGUUAAAACACCAUGCAUAGACUAUGAUUAUCUUCAUCCACACACAUAUAUAUUUAUGUUUUACUCUUUUGUAUUCUAUUUUUCCGGUGAUGAAUGAUGGCGUUGUUGCAGUUUCUUACCCUUUUAGUUUCUAGUUAUCUACUAGCUAGGUGAACCUAUACAAGCUUUACAAUUUUAUCUUGCAAAAAAAAGUAAAUAUGGUGGGAAGAAUAAAUAAUUUACUAUAUAUAUGUUUGGUACUUUCAUUUCAUCAUUCUUCUAACGUUUGCAGGGUUUUGAUUGCAGCAGUUGUGUACCGACUCCUGAGGUCAAAGGAGGUAGAUGCAAUAUAUGUUAUGUUGGUAAAUAAGCUGAAAUAUGAAAUCUGGGCAUGAACGAUAGAAACAAGAUUUGGCGCCACAUCAAUUUUGAUUUUAGGAUUUAAGUAUAUUUUAUAGUUAUUUUUAUUUUAUUUUUUUAAAUUUUAUUUGUAAAGAUAUUUUAUUAAUAGUUUGAUUAGUUUAAUUAAUUAAUUAAAUGUUUAGUUUGAUGUUAGAAGAGUUAAUCAAGGAAGGAAAUCUUUUGCUUUUAAA